AUGUUACGUAUCAAUUUGUUUGUUUAAAUCGAUCAAAUCUAAGGUUGAAUUUUACUGAAAAAUUUUUUUUUUUUUUUUUUUUUUUUUUUUAUAAUUGAGUUUGAGUUUUGAAUUUAAUCGGAAAGGAAAUAAAUUAAAAUGAUAUUAUUGUGUAUUUAAUUCCGAUUUAGGUUAUUAAUUAAUACGGUAGUUGCUGCCACCAGAAAUAGUCCAAAGACUAUUUCAAAAUAUUUUAUUUUUUAUUAUUUUCUUUUGCGUUUAAUGGGUAGCGUUAACUGACGCUUAAUGCAACUGGUAAACGAAUUUCACUUUUCGGCUAACCUGCUAUGCGCAGGGAUACUAUCGCGGGAGAGGAUUAAAGCUGGGUACAAUAAAUAUUUUUCCUCGUCGAACGGAUUUUUACUUGAAUGUGAAAUGGGUUAGGUUAUUAUAUAUAUAUAUAUUUGAUUAGCUAGAUAUAUAUAUUUUAGCGUUGCUGGAUUAGAUAGGAAUGUGAGAUUGUUUGUUGUUUUAUAUAAAUUUAUUUUUUCGUUUGACUUCCUCUUCUCUUUUAAUUUCGCUGUUAAGACCGAAACUCAAUUCAUUUACCCCGAUGGAUUCUGUCGCCACGAUUUUCUUGCCUUUUGAGUUUAGCUAUCGAGGAUAAUUCUAACGAUCCUCUCUGUGUGGGACUCGUGUGAUUUCGCCAGCCUUGCCCAAAGACGGGUAAUAAUUUACCAACAGUGGGAGGAGGAAGGCGAAGAUCGAUGGGUGUUCUCGAUAAUUGAAAACACCAUUUGCACGAGCCGACACAGCGAACGAUCUUUUGGUUAAUUUCCCGAAGGGGGGAUUGUUUUGUUAUAUCUUUCUUAUAAUCGCAUGCAAGAAUGGCAAGAAUAUCGGUUAAUAGCAAUACCGGUAUCGUUCUUGAUUUUCAAUUGACCCCGACGAUAUAUUUAUUAGUCCUUUCUGAGCGGGUCUUGUGUGAUUUCGCAAGCCUUGCCCAAAGAUGGGUAAUAUUUUACCAACAAUGGGAGGAGGAAUGCGAAGAUCAGUGGGUGUUUCAGUAGCUGAAAACACCGUUCGCACAAGCCGACACAACGGACAACUCCUUUGUUUAAAGUUUAAACAAUGAUUCUAUCUUCAAAACCGUUCACAAAAAUAAAACGAGAUCCAUGAUAGGAAGUUCUAAUUCAAUUCUCGAGGACAAUGAGAUUAUCAGAGAAGAAGGAAAUUUUCAAAAUUAAUUUUCUUACCUUGAGGAGUAGGUGCUGUCUGGUGCCAUUACCUCAGCCGCUCCGGUGGUCGUCGAAGUUUUUGUUGGGUUUAUUAUUUGAACUCGAAUAUAGUUUAUUAUCAACUCUUACUUUAUUUAUCUAUUUUAAUACAGACUGAGCAAUUUACUAACUGGAUUAAUACCGCAAUUACAAUGCGCGUUUGUGUCUAAACGAUGAAAUGAGGACUUCAAAGAUAAAAUUUUCUUUUACUUAGUCGCGACUCUCUUUUCUUUACCGAAAAAACUAAAGACCCCGAAACGCAAAAUACAAUACAAAAUUUCUAAACGCAGUGAUGAGCGCAAUAACGAACGCAAAGAAUAAUGAGCCGUAAUAACAAACGAUCGCAAGAAUUAUGAACAAACUAAAGAACGCUGCGCUAUGUUGCUACGCUUAUUUACAAUGCCAAUCCCCCACGGGGUGGUGGUCCGCUGGGGGUACGCUUCCGUGGGAAUCGGGAUGUUGCAGUUUGGGCUUCUUGGAAUCGUACGUGACAAAAUGUAAAUUCCGUAUUUCGACUUAGUUUCUAUCAGUCCGGUGUUUCUGCUGAGCUAGCGUCUAGGAGAUUUGAAGCAUUCCACUCUGAUCUAGUCCGUUCCGCGAGAAACUUCCACGUGCUGUACCGUGGGAAUUACCGGUGUUUCUUCGGCGCGUGGAAGGGCUGGUGGCUGCAGCAUCAUUAUCAUUUUAAAGUUUGCUCGGGCAACACGCGCAACUCCGCUGCUCUCCCAUAACAAAGACCUCCUCCUUCGAAUUGUUUUGCGCUUCGGUGAUCGACGUUCGGACAAUGUUUGCGGAGGCAUUUCCAUCAGAGGUUCCUUUCCAGACUUCCCUGCCCAAGCGAAAGAGGGAUUCCGAAGAACCCAUGGGCGACUCGGGAGGAUCCAUCAAACGCAUGCGGCCCUGUGAUAAACCACGAGUAUCAGAGUGGUUGGAGGAACUAUUCAACAUUGAUGCCGAGACCGUGUCGAAAUUGGGCUUUGACGAUUUGGUUACUUUCGACGAGAAUUUCUUCGAUGCAGAGACCGUCGUAUUGGAGAGGGAACCCCCUCUGGUUGAAAUCGUUGAUACCGAUCGUUGCGUGAAAGUUCGUUUUGCGAAUGAAAUUCCCGAAGAGGUUUUGGAGGCACAUCAUCGUCACCAUGCUUCUGGGAGAAAGGGAAUUUCCCCUGUUGUGCGCUAUUGGUGUAUGCGUGAGUUCAGCGAACUUUAUCCCGGAGCUCCUUGCUUCGAUUUUGAUUUAGUGUAGCUGCUUCAAUUUCGUUGGUUCGCUGUUUAAUGUUCCUUAUUAUUAUUAAUUUUUUGAUAUAUUUUGUUUUGUGUUCAAUAUAUAUAUAUAUAUAUUUUAAAUGUGAUAGUGUUAGGUUAUCUAUUUUUUUUUUUUUAAUUUUAUAUUGCUCCCCUUUUUAAUUAAUUAUAAAUAUAUAUAUAUAUAUAUAUUUACAUUUGUAGUUGCGCAUAAAAUUUAUUAAAGAAAAGUGUUAACAAUGUG